GAUAUUUGCAGAGGAGUAAAACUGUUUGGGAGUCAAAUUCUCCUUGACAGAAGACAACCGAAAUCUUGUGGAUUAACUCCGAGGCACUGUCAGUGUGCAUCGCUGGAGACGUUGGUCCCCUGUCCGUGAGCCGCGCGAGGCUGCGUGAUCGGCAUCACGGUUCGUGUGCAGCGGCGUGGGUGAACCGUGGCAGAAUCCAGCGACACCAGUAAAAACCAUCAGAUUUCAGCCGAGGCCAGACGCACCUUCGCCCCGUGGAUGGGGCUGAGCUGUACUGCUUUCCUCCAGGCAGCUGUGUUAAUUUGCCAAAAUCUGAUCCGAGUCCCCAAAAUAUGCCUCCGUGCCACGUGUAGCAGCACACAGCUUUAGAAGAAGAGGGGAAAAAAUCCCUGUGAUGACUGAAGCUGAGAAAAUUGCCAUGGAAGAUGAAGAAGGUCAAGAUGACAAGCAUCUCCAUCACAACCUUGCCUCCGAUACGCGAUGGGGCUGGGAGCGCUUCCGAAGGACGGCUCCGUCACUAUGGGAAUCCUGUCCGAAUCCCUCGGAAUAAGACACAAAGGGGGAUAAAGAAAUCUGGAUCGCAGCACGAAGCUCCUGAAGUGAAGGCCAGGCACA